UUCUAAGGGCGUUGAAGCAUGAUCGCAAGGACAUGUGGAGCGCUUAGAAGUGAGAAUGCCGGUGUGAGUAGCGAAAGACGGGUGAGAAUCCCGUCCACCGAUUGACUAAGGUUUCCAGAGGAAGGCUCGUCCGCUCUGGGUUAGUCGGGUCCUAAGCUGAGGCCGACAGGCGUAGGCGAUGGAUAACAGGUUGAUAUUCCUGUACCACCAUUAUUCGUUUUAAGCGAUGGGGGGACGCAGUAGGAUAGGCGAAGCGUGCUGUUGGAGUGCACGUCCAAGCAGUGAGAUUGAGUGUUAGGCAAAUCCGGCACUCUUAAGAUUGAGCUGUGAUGGGGAGAGGAACUUGUUCCUCGAGUCGUUGAUUUCACACUGCCGAGAAAAGCCUCUAGCUAGAAUAACGGUGCCCGUACCGCAAACCGACACAGGUAGUCAAGAUGAGAAUUCUAAGGUGAGCGAGCGAACUCUCGUUAAGGAACUCGGCAAAAUGACCCCGUAACUUCGGGAGAAGGGGUGCUCUUUGAGGUUCACGCUUCGAAGAGCCGCAGUGAAUAGGCCCAAGCGACUGUUUAUCAAAAACACAGGUCUCUGCUAAACCGUAAGGUGACGUAUAGGGGCUGACGCCUGCCCGGUGCUGGAAGGUUAAGAGGAGUGGUUAGCGCAAGCGAAGCUACGAAUCGAAGCCCCAGUAAACGGCGGCCGUAACUAUAACGGUCCUAAGGUAGCGAAAUUCCUUGUCGGGUAAGUUCCGACCCGCACGAAAGGCGUAACGAUUUGGGCACUGUCUCAACGAGAGACUCGGUGAAAUCAUAGUACCGGUGAAGAUGCCGGUUACCCGCGACAGGACGGAAAGACCCCGUGGAGCUUUACUGUAGCCUGAUAUUGAAAUUCGGUACAGUUUGUACAGGAUAGGUAGGAGCCUUAGAAGCGUGAGCGCUAGCUUACGUGGAGGCAUUGGUGGGAUACUACCCUAAUUGUAUUGGAUUUCUAACCCGCAGCACUUAUCGUGCUGGGAGACAGUGUCAGGCGGGCAGUUUGACUGGGGCGGUCGCCUCCUAAAGAGUAACGGAGGCGCUCAAAGGUUCCCUCAGAAUGGUUGGAAAUCAUUCAUAGAGUGUAAAGGCAUAAGGGAGCUUGACUGCGAGACCUACAAGUCGAGCAGGGUCGAAAGACGGACUUAGUGAUCCGGUGGUUCCGCAUGGAAGGGCCAUCGCUCAACGGAUAAAAGCUACCCCGGGGAUAACAGGCUUAUCUCCCCCAAGAGUUCACAUCGACGGGGAGGUUUGGCACCUCGAUGUCGGCUCAUCGCAUCCUGGGGCUGUAGUCGGUCCCAAGGGUUGGGCUGUUCGCCCAUUAAAGCGGUACGCGAGCUGGGUUCAGAACGUCGUGAGACAGUUCGGUCCCUAUCCGUCGUGGGCGUAGGAAAUUUGAGAGGAGCUGUCCUUAGUACGAGAGGACCGGGAUGGACAUACCUCUGGUGUACCAGUUGUCGUGCCAACGGCAUAGCUGGGUAGCUAUGUAUGGACGGGAUAAGUGCUGAAAGCAUCUAAGCAUGAAGCCCCCCUCGAGAUGAGAUUUCCCAACUUCGGUUAUAAGAUCCCUCAAAGAUGAUGAGGUGAAUAGGUUCGAGGUGGAAGCGUAGCGAUACGUGGAGCUGACGAAUACUAAUCGAUCGAAGACUUAAUCAA
rnacentral:rRNA from 1 species